GGAGAGAUGACCGAGGGGUCGAAGGUGCACGAUUGGAAAUCGUGUGUGCCCGAGAGGGUACCGAGGGUUCAAAUCCCUCUCUCUCCG
rnacentral:tRNA from 1 species